rnacentral:rRNA from 1 species
GACGAACCGUGCGAACGUUGUUCGGAAUCACUGGGCUUAAAGGGCGCGUAGGCGGCUUGCCAAGUCGGGGGUGAAAUCCGGCAGCUUAACUGUCGAAGUGCCUUCGAUACUGGCGAGCUCGAGGGAGGUAGGGGUCUGUGGAACUGCUGGUGGAGCGGUGAAAUGCGCAGAUAUCAGGAGGAACACCAAUGGCGAAGGCAGCUCGCUGGGACGGUACUGACGCUGAGACGCGAAAGCGUGGGGAGCAAACAGG